rnacentral:rRNA from 1 species
UACGUAGGGUGCGAGCGUUUAAUCGGAAUUACUGGGCGUAAAGCGUGCGCAGGCGGUUUGUUAAGUCCGUUGUGAAAGCCCUGGGCUCAACCUGGGAAUUGCAGUGGAUACUGGCGAGCUAGAGUGUGUCAGAGGGGGGUGGAAUUCCACGUGUAGCAGUGAAAUGCGUAGAUAUGUGGAGGAACACCGAUGGCGAAGGCAGCCCCCUGGGCCGAUACUGACGCUCAUGCACGAAAGCGUGGGGAGCAAACAGG